CAGAGAUCAGAAGGUCUCCCCUCAGCUCCUGUUCUCCAGCUGAACCCCCCAGGUCCCUCAGCCGCCCCCAUCACACUUGUGCUCCAGCCACUCACCAGCUCCGUUCCCUUUGAACUCGCUCCAGCAUCUCAAAGGCUUUCCUGUCGUGAAACUUGCCCAAAACUGAACACAGGAUUCAAGGUUUGGCCUCACCAGUGCUGAGUGCAGGGGGAAAAAAACAUCUUCAUGUCUAAAUCUCGAAGUUCCUGAAACUGCAGGUUCAAAUACUGCAGAUGUUGCUGCUCCUAUUGCAGAAAAUCACCUGCACUUGUUUCACAGAUGCUGCUUGUGCAGGUGGCCAAGAGAAGUGGUUCUUCCUGCUGCCUUUCCCCUUCUGAGCAGGUGCGGGUACAACACCAACUGCAGUUACUUAAGCAUCUUCCUUACACUGAAACCUGAGUGCAGGGAUGAAUACAGAGAGAAGUGAGACAUUCUGAAAAUUAAACAGCAUUUUUAUUAUGAUUAUUCCAUCAAGGCUUGAUAAACUGAGUAGUUAGAAGUCAGUUGUCGGUUACAUAGUUCCAGAUAAAAAUAUCAGAAUCAUUCCUACAAAUACUUUUUUUCCUCUACAAGUAAAGCAAAGGACUUUUAUUACAAGAGGAGUUAUACUUCUAAACCAUCUAAAUUUGUCAGUUUUCAACUAAAUUUCUCAUUGUCCAGGUUUAGAACUUCAUAAAAGGCACUUGGAGCGGUUUUUCUGUUGCAUGUUUCAGGGCCAGUGCAUAAGUAUAAACCCUGGCGUCCACUGCAAGAUGUUCUUCUGCUACGAGUUCUGAAACACACACAAAAAAGAAGAUUAUGAGAUGUCAUUAAAACUUCUCUCCAUAAAUUAAGUCCCUUACUAAAAUGAAGAUGUAUAGCAUUCUAGUUCCUUUAAUGUAAUGGUUGGGCUUGCUGAUCUUAAAAGGUCUUUUCCAACCAAAAUGAUUCUUAAUGCCAACACAUAAUGCUAUCACUAUUACCUGGCCAAGUCUCUCACAGCUUUUUGUUUAAAAUGCCAUUUUUUAGGAUGGGAAAGGCCAUGAGGAGCUAUGAGAAGGACGCUAAUGGUUUCUCGAAGCAUUUAACGUGUCAGAAAGCUCUUACCAUCAAUUCUUUGCAGUAGGUCAUUCUUUGGAAGCGAAAUAACUUCCACAAAUUCUAGGAGAGAUGAAAAAAAAGACAAUGAUUAAAAUUAGUGAACAGCAGAGGAAAUCUGCCUCAGUGUCCUGUUUUGUACAAUUUUAAAGGGGAAACAAACUGGAUUAAUGUUCAUCACCAUCCAAAAGCUGUGAGUCCUCAUCACAAAAAGGCCGAUUAAAUGUGGGAAGGCAGUGACUGGGGUCACUAAAAACAAGUUUGGCAGAAAAAGCUGGGAAAAGCAGUGUAGCUGACAGCUGUGGAGGACAAGAAUCCUAAAAGGAGACCUGAGAAUGGAAAACAGAGGGUUCAAGGGGACUUUGGUUUGGCUGAUACUGGUGCAGUCGUGGGUUGUAGAUGAACCUGACUGAAGAUCAAACCAGCACAAAGAGUUUGUUCUGGAUGAAUGUGUGUUGGCUGACACCUCCUGUCUAUGUGAAUUAGUUAUCUCUGGGGCUUGGUCUGCAGCUGUUGUGGAUUCAGUAAUUUGUAUUUCCCAAGAUACUGUUACAAAUGAAGAUAUCUUGAAGAUAACUGAUGAAGUCAGGCCCCACAGGAAUUUUCAUGUCUAGGCCACAGUCAAUGUCAGGCAUGUUUGAUUUGAUUAGGGUCAGGAGAUAAGCCAGGCCCAAAUAGAAAAUGUCAGUCAGAUCUGGCUUUGAAGUCAAACUUGCCAUACAAAGAUCACACUUGUCCUUACUGUCACUGUGAGCUGUAACGUACCUCCAUCAUCUGCAAGAGAAAAGAAACAGUAGCAAGUUACAACUAAAAAGCAUUUUGACAGCUGACUGACCGUGAGUGACAACGGAGUUACUUCCAGGGACGAGCCACAACCAAGAGCAGUAUCUAGGUGCUCAAGCACUUAUGGUCCACACUGAACCUCAGAACCUAAACUGCUCAUUCUGGCUGUGCCAACAGCUGACCCUUAACAUCUAAGCCUCUCCUGUAAAUUUAGCAAAGAAACACAACUCUGCUGAUCUAGACUGCAAGAUAUGAUUUGAAGGACGUACGGCAUCUAAAUCAGCCGUGACAGAAGAGAUGCAGUGGUAGGGGAAACUCCUUUCAACCCGUUAUUUUGUUAUCUUCUCAGAAUUUUCAAAUAAAUGGUAUAAAACCCA